AUACUUACCUGGUGCCGGGAUUACCGUGAUCAGCCAGGCGGUGUCCCCAGGGAGAGGCGCGGGUAUUGCACUGCGCUCGUGCUGACCCCUGCCACUACCCCAAACUGGGGCAGAUGGGGCAUGCAAUUUUUGGUAGUGGGGGACUGCGUUCGCGCUUUCCCCCU
rnacentral:snRNA from 1 species